UACGGAGGGUGCGAGCGUUGUCCGGAAUCACUGGGCGUAAAGGGCGCGUAGGCGGUGCGAUAAGCGUGCGGUGAAAGCCUGGGGCUCAACCCCGGGUCGGCCGUGCGAACUGUCGGACUCGAGCACUGUAGGGGCAGGCGGAAUUCCGGGUGUAGCGGUGGAAUGCGUAGAGAUCGGGAAGAACACCAGUGGCGAAGGCGACGUGCUGGGCUGUUUCUGACGCUGAGAUGCGAAAGUGUGGGUAGCAAACGGG
rnacentral:rRNA from 1 species